AGCGAACGCUGGCGGCAGGCUUAACACAUGCAAGUCGAACGGUCCUUCGGGAUAGUGGCGGACGGGUGAGUAACACGUGGGAACGUACCCUUAGGUUCGGAACAACACAGGGAAACUUGUGCUAAUACCGGAUAAGCCCUUCGGGGGAAAGAUUUAUCGCCUUUGGAGCGGCCCGCGUCUGAUUAGCUUGUUGGUGAGGUAAUGGCUCACCAAGGCUACGAUCAGUAGCUGGUCUGAGAGGAUGGUCAGCCACACUGGGACUGAGACACGGCCCAGACUCCUACGGGAGGCAGCAGUGGGGAAUCUUGCGAAAUGGGCGAAAGCCUGACGCAGCCAUGCCGCGUGGAUGAUGAAGGUCUUAGGAUUGUAAAAUCCUUUCACCGGGGACGAUAGUGACGGUACCCGGAGAAGAAGCCCCGGCUAACUUCGUGCCAGCCGCCGCCGUAA
rnacentral:rRNA from 1 species